GAUAUUGGUCAAUGGGGGGAACCCUGAACCAGCGACACCGCGUGAGGGAAGAAGGNUUNNGGAUUNUNAAUCUCUGUCUUCGGNNNNNAUAAUGACGGUCCCAGAUGAGGAAGCCACGGCUACCUACGCGCCAGCAGCAGCGGUAAUACGUAGGUGGCAAGCGUUGUACGGAAUUACUGGGUGUAAAGGAGCGUAGGCGGGAAGGUAAGUGGAAUGUUAAAUCUAUCGGCUCAACAGAUAGCCGCGUUAAAAACUGUCUUUCUUGAGUGAAGUAGAGGCAAGCAGAAUUCCUAGUGUAGCGGUGAAAUGCGUAGAGAUUAGGAGGAAUACCAGUGGCGAAGGCGGCUUGCUGGGCUUUUACUGACGCUGAGGCUCGAAAGUGUGGGGAGCAAACA
rnacentral:rRNA from 1 species